rnacentral:rRNA from 1 species
AGUGAACGCUGGCGGUGGGCCUAACACAUGCAAGUCGAACGGCAGCACAGUAAGAGCUUGCUCUUACGGGUGGCGAGUGGCGGACGGGUGAGGAAUACAUCGGAAUCUACUUUUUCGUGGGGGAUAACGUAGGGAAACUUACGCUAAUACCGCAUACGACCUACGGGUGAAAGCAGGGGAUCUUCGGACCUUGCGCGAUUGAAUGAGCCGAUGUCGGAUUAGCUAGUUGGCGGGGUAAAGGCCCACCAAGGCGACGAUCCGUAGCUGGUCUGAGAGGAUGAUCAGCCACACUGGAACGGAGACACGGUCCAGACUCCUACGGGAGGCAGCAGUGGGGAAUAUUGGACAAUGGGCGCAAGCCUGAUCCAGCCAUACCGCGUGGGUGAAGAAGGCCUUCGGGUUGUAAAGCCCUUUUGUUGGGAAAGAAAAGCAGCAGGUUAAUACCCCGCUGUUCUGACGGUACCCAAAGAAUAAGCACCGGCUAACUUCGUG